UACAGAGGUCUCAAGCGUUGUUCGGAUUCAUUGGGCGUAAAGGGUGCGUAGGUGGCGCCGUAAGUCGGGUGUGAAAUUUCGGAGCUUAACUCCGAAACUGCAUUCGAUACUGCGGUGCUUGAGGACUGGAGAGGAGACUGGAAUUUACGGUGUAGCAGUGAAAUGCGUAGAGAUCGUAAGGAAGACCAGUGGCGAAGGCAGCUCGCUGGGACGUUACUGACGCUGAGACGCGAAAGCGUGGGGAGCAAACAGG
rnacentral:rRNA from 1 species